GAUGAUUUGGCAGAUUAGUGCUCUAAAUUUAGAAUUUGGCUAAGUAUUAUUUUUAAAAUACACUCAUCA
rnacentral:tRNA from 1 species